CAGUUGCCAGCGUACUCUCCGGAGUGACGGGUACACUGUGGGGACCGCCGCUGCUAAAGCGGAGGAAGGAAUGGGCAACGGUAGGUCAGUAUGCCCCGAAUAUCCCGGGCUACACGCGAGCUACAAUGGUUGGUACAAUGGGUAUCUACCCCGAAAGGGGACGGGAAUCUCCUAAAACCAAUCUUAGUUCGGAUUGAGGGCUGCAACUCGCCCUCAUGAAGCUGGAAUCCGUAGUAAUCGCGUUUCAACAGAACGCGGUGAAUACGUCCCUGCUCCUU
rnacentral:rRNA from 1 species